rnacentral:rRNA from 1 species
UUCGCCCUUAGAGUUUGAUCCUGGCUCAGGACGAACGCUGGCGGCGCGCCUAACACAUGCAAGUCGAACGGAGCUGAGAGGAGCUUGCUUUUCUUAGCUUAGUGGCGAACGGGUGAGUAACGCGUGAGUAACCUGCCCUGGAGUGGGGGACAACAGUUGGAAACGACUGCUAAUACCGCAUAAGCCCACGGCCCGGCAUCGGGCUGAGGGAAAAGGAUUUAUUCGCUUCAGGAUGGACUCGCGUCCAAUUAGCUAGUUGGUGAGGUAACGGCCCACCAAGGCGACGAUUGGUAGCCGGACUGAGAGGUUGAACGGCCACAUUGGGACUGAGACACGGCCCAGACUCCUACGGGAGGCAGCAGUGGGGGAUAUUGCACAAUGGGGGAAACCCUGAUGCAGCGACGCCGCGUGGAGGAAGAAGGUUUUCGGAUUGUAAACUCCUGUCGUUAGGGACGAUAAUGACGGUACCUAACAAGAAAGCACCGGCUAACUACGUGCCAGCAGCCGCGGUAAAACGUAGGGUGCAAGCGUUGUCCGGAAUUACUGGGUGUAAAGGGAGCGCAGGCGGGAAGACAAGUUGGAAGUGAAAUCUAUGGGCUCAACCCAUAAACUGCUUUCAAAACUGUUUUUCUUGAGUAGUGCAGAGGUAGGCGGAAUUCCCGGUGUAGCGGUGGAAUGCGUAGAUAUCGGGAGGAACACCAGUGGCGAAGGCGGCCUACUGGGCACCAACUGACGCUGAGGCUCGAAAGUGUGGGUAGCAAACAGGAUUAGAUACCCUGGUAGUCCACACCGUAAACGAUGAUUACUAGGUGUUGGAGGAUUGACCCCUUCAGUGCCGCAGUUAACACAAUAAGUAAUCCACCUGGGGAGUACGACCGCAAGGUUGAAACUCAAAGGAAUUGACGGGGGCCCGCACAAGCAGUGGAGUAUGUGGUUUAAUUCGACGCAACGCGAAGAACCUUACCAAGUCUUGACAUCCCUUGACGAACAUAGAAAUAUGUUUUCUCUUCGGAGCAAGGAGACAGGUGGUGCAUGGUUGUCGUCAGCUCGUGUCGUGAGAUGUUGGGUUAAGUCCCGCAACGAGCGCAACCCUUACUGUCAGUUACUACGCAAGAGGACUCUGGCAGGACUGCCGUUGACAAAACGGAGGAAGGUGGGGAUGACGUCAAAUCAUCAUGCCCUUUAUGACUUGGGCUACACACGUACUACAAUGGCGUUAAACAAAGAGAAGCAAGACCGCGAGGUGGAGCAAAACUCAGAAACAACGUCCCAGUUCGGACUGCAGGCUGCAACUCGCCUGCACGAAGUCGGAAUUGCUAGUAAUCGUGGAUCAGCAUGCCACGGUGAAUACGUUCCCGGGCCUUGCACUCACCGCCCGUCA